CAGUAGCCGCGGUAAUACGUAGGUCCCGAGCGUUGUCCGGAUUUAUUGGGCGUAAAGCGAGCGCAGGCGGUUAGAUAAGUCUGAAGUUAAAGGCUGUGGCUUAACCAUAGUACGCUUUGGAAACUGUUUAACUUGAGUGCAGAAGGGGAGAGUGGAAUUCCAUGUGUAGCGGUGAAAUGCGUAGAUAUAUGGAGGAACACCGGUGGCGAAAGCGGCUCUCUGGUCUGUAACUGACGCUGAGGCUCGAAAGCGUGGGGAGCGAACAGGAUUAGAUACCCCGGUAGUCCCUGUCUCUUAUACA
rnacentral:rRNA from 1 species